GACGAACGCUGGCGGCAGGCUUAACACAUGCAAGUCGAGCGCCCCGCAAGGGGAGCGGCAGACGGGUGAGUAACGCGUGGGAAUCUACCGUACCCUACGGAAUAGCUCCGGGAAACUGGAAUUAAUACCGUAUACGCCCUACGGGGGAAAGAUUUAUCGGGGUAUGAUGAGCCCGCGUUGGAUUAGCUAGUUGGUGGGGUAAAGGCCUACCAAGGCGACGAUCCAUAGCUGGUCUGAGAGGAUGAUCAGCCACAUUGGGACUGAGACACGGCCCAAACUCCUACGGGAGGCAGCAGUGGGGAAUAUUGGACAAUGGGCGCAAGCCUGAUCCAGCCAUGCCGCGUGAGUGAUGAAGGUCUUAGGAUUGUAAAGCUCUUUCACCGAUGAAGAUAAUGACGGUAGUCGGAGAAGAAGCCCCGGCUAACUUCGUGCCAGCAGCCGCAGUAACAC
rnacentral:rRNA from 1 species